AGUGAACGCUGGCGGUAGGCCUAACACAUGCAAGUCGAACGGCAGCACAGUAAGAGCUUGCUCUUACGGGUGGCGAGUGGCGGACGGGUGAGGAAUACAUCGGAAUCUACUUUUUCGUGGGGGAUAACGUAGGGAAACUUACGCUAAUACCGCAUACGACCUACGGGUGAAAGCAGGGGAUCUUCGGACCUUGCGCGAUUGAAUGAGCCGAUGUCGGAUUAGCUAGUUGGCGGGGUAAAGGCCCACCAAGGCGACGAUCCGUAGCUGGUCUGAGAGGAUGAUCAGCCACACUGGAACUGAGACACGGUCCAGACUCCUACGGGAGGCAGCAGUGGGGAAUAUUGGACAAUGGGCGGAAGCCUGAUCCAGCCAUACCGCGUGGGUGAAGAAGGCCUGCGGGUUGUAAAGCCCUUUUGUGGGGAAAGAAAAGCAGCAGGUGAAUACCCCGCUGUUCUGACGGUACCCAAAGAAUAAGCACCGGCUAACUUCGUG
rnacentral:rRNA from 1 species